UACAGAGGGUGCGAGCGUUAAUCGGAUUUACUGGGCGUAAAGCGCACGUAGGCAGCCAUGUAAGUUGGGGGUGAAAUCCCGGGGCUCAACCCCGGAACUGCCUUCAAAACUACAUAGCUGGAGGAUGUGAGAGGAUAGUGGAAUUCCGAGUGUAGAGGUGAAAUUCGUAGAUAUUCGGAAGAACACCGGUGGCGAAGGCGACUGUCUGGCACAUUUCUGACGCUGAGGUGCGAAAGCGUGGGGAGCAAACGGG
rnacentral:misc_RNA from 1 species